GGCCUAGAUAUGAGAUGGUAUAGUGGUUUGGAUGUUUGACUAGGAACCUGGAGGCCAGAGUUCGAAUCCCUGCUUGGCCA